UACGGGGGGGGCAAGCGUUGUUCGGAUUCACUGGGCGUAAAGGGUGCGUAGGUGGUGAGGUAAGUCGGAUGUGAAAUCUCCGAGCUCAACUCGGAAAUGGCAUUGGAAACUACCUUGCUCGAGGGUUGGAGGGGGGACUGGAAUGCUUGGUGUAGCAGUGAAAUGCGUAGAUAUCAAGCGGAACACCAGUGGCGAAGGCGAGUCCCUGGACAACUCCUGACACUGAGGCACGAAAGCUAGGGGAGCAAACAGG
rnacentral:rRNA from 1 species